rnacentral:lncRNA from 1 species
GGGGAAAGACAUUAAGUUUGGAGCAGCUCAGUGCUACGGAUCUAGCCUCUCUCCCUCGGGUCUCCAGACUCACUUGGUCCAAGCUGCGGAGCAGGGACAGCGGAGCUCAGGCGGCCACGUUCAGGCCCAGCCACCACAGAACCAGAGAGAAACCUACGCCCAGAAGAACAUGUCCCUGGAUUGCUUUCCCACUGCUGUGGAGUGUCUUGAACACUGGUCCCUGGACACCAACUUCAAGAAGACUUCAUGGAUGGCUGUCCAGUCUUAUGAGCCACAGUUUCCCCUCUACAUUUUCUUCACUCCAGCGAGGCUCUUAUCAGGGUCAGAUCAGAGAUGAACCAGCUGGACGACAGAUUGGAGCGCUGACCUCUUAGAGUGCUAACAGUGAACAGUGUGGGGUCAGAUCUAUAGAAAGAUAAUAAUAAGAAAACACCCUAUAUGCAAGGGAGAGGGAUGGUUCAUAAUUUCUUAAAGAUUGAAAUCAAGGAACAAUCAAAAUAUAGAAGAAUGUGGACGUGUUUUGCUGCAGGACUUCUGUUUUGUCCCCAUUGGAAUAUGUAUUAUGGUAUUCCUGUUGGAUCAGGACUCAGGGGCAAGGCUAAGCAUUCCAGUGGUCCUCCUACUUAGCUCUUGUCCUUUCGUAAGAAACACCAACUCAUUAGUCUCUAUAUUACUUCUCUGUACUGUAGAUCUGCAUUCUUGAUCUGAGAGAUAUUGGCAAUGACACUCUUGUAUGAUAAAGCUCAAUGAUAAGAGUACUUCAAACCCCCUUGAACUUUUUGUUUAUACAUCAAGUGGUGACAUUGUGUAUUGAGCUAAUUAGAUCAAUGGAGUCACAGGGUGAUACUGAACUCUUUUAAAAUAUUUGGCUGAAACAUGACAUUGUAGUUAUUUGUAGAAGAGAACAUUAUGGAAUAUGAAAAACAUCACAGAACACAGAACUAGCAGCAGAAACUAGCAGCAGGUAGACAUUUUUCCUUUUCCAUAGAGCUUUCAACCAAAUGUCUCUGUAGAAAAUAGUGGCUAUCGUGUAUAUAUAUAGCCACAUAGAUGUCCUUGAGUGUACCCUGUAGUCAGUGGGAGAGUUCCUACUGCCACAGUCAUGGCCAUGGCUAUGUUCUCUAAGCCUACAUUUUAUAAACACUCUGUGAAUCUUGACUACUUUUCUUUAGCAAGCAUUGCAAAGUCCUGGGAUGUCAGAGAAGUGCCUGGGGUUGGCAGGGUUUCUAGAGAGGAAAUUGUUAAAUGAUUUGAACCAGAAAACAAACAGGGGAUGGGGUUCAGAACCAACAAUUACCUCUAUUCUAUGUAGGAAACCACAACAUGAAAUAUGCUGGGCAUGGAAACUUUGAUACCUUGGUUUUUCAUUCUUUUUAAAAAUUAAUACUAAAGAGCUAUGCGACUGUAGGCAAGCCAUUUCCCAUCCCCUGUGAAUAUCUCCCAGAUGACUUUAAAUCCCUUCUAGUUCUGAAAGGCUUUUAACAUCAGGGCCCAGGCUCCAGUGGCCAGUUUCAAAAUACCCUCCCUUUUGAUGUUAGGUUACAUAAACAUUGUUCUUUUUUAGGGAGGGUCUCUUUUAUCAACUUUUAAAAACACACAUCAGGUUCUCUGGUAUUAAAAAGAUGCCAUCUCUGAGUCCCCUACUAUCUGUGCUGCCUGCCUUUCCUCCUGUUCUUUCCUUAUUCCCAUCCCUAUUGAACUUGUGCUAUGCAGUAUGCAUCAGGUAUGUGUUAGCUUUGGGGAUACAUGAUAGAUAAACUGGACACACAGGGUCUUCCCAUUCUCUUCUGGAAUUUUCUUUGGAGGGAGCCUCUUGUAUCUAGACAGACCGUGCUGUGGUACCCCAGAGGUAACCACCUACAGGCUUCACUCUGCCUAAGCAAUUUUGCUGUGCACUAAGAUACACAUUCAAGUAACUUUAGAUUACCACAAUAACUUUCUCCAGGUAUGAGGAAAAGAGAUAAUUUACUUCUGAGAUGUGUAUAGGAUAGCCCUCCAUCCUGGGAAGAACAGUGACUACUCCCUGCAUCCCGACCUUGCCCAGGGAAAGCUAAUGUUUCUCUGUGUUAUCCCUGUGACUUGCCACUUCUUUAAAAAGGAAUGGGCAAACAAUAAACAGACAAAAAUGUUGUCUGACCUCAUUGGAAAUCCUUUUAAGAAUUAAUCCUUUCUAUCUCCUUCAUUAUCAACAAAUCUAUUGAAUACUUAUCUCUGAGUCCAGGGCAUAUUUUAUAAUACAUAAAACAAUGGAAUUUCAAAAUUGGAGCACUGACAUACAAUAUUGGUUUUGAGUAUUUUUAUUAUAGGGAAUGACUUUAGACAUUGCAAUUUAUGACUUAACUGAUAAAAUGGAUGACUCUUGACUUUCAAUUUUCAUUUUCAGUUCAGUCGAGGAAUAGCUUCCUCCAGGUAAUGUCUAUACUUUCCUAUGACUAAGGGCUCUAACUAUCUCUGUUGCUUUUCUUUAUGUAGGCAUAUGUUAGUAUUUAUUUUCUAUAUGACAAAUGUAUUAAAGAAAGCAUGAAAUUAAUGAGAUAAACUUUUCAGAUAGGAGUUUAGAAAAUCAAGGGGCCAAGAUAAAUAAAUGAAAAAUCAACUUAAAUAAUUAACAUAUUCCAGAUAUAUUGGAAUAAAUGUUUAUUGUACCCUUUUGGUUUUGUCUUGGGUUAUUUUUUUCUUAUCUCACUGAUUUUUUUUUCUUUCCUUUUUAGCUUUUUUGUCUUUUUUGAUUUUUGUUGUUGCGUUUCUCCUUUUUUUUUUUCUUGUUGAUGUUGUUUGUUUGUUUGUUUGUUUGUUUUUUGAGAAAGAACAGAAGGUUGGUUGGAUAGGGAGGUGGGGAAGAUCUAUCUGGAUGGAGUUGGGAGGAGGGAAAAUACACGAUCAAAAUAUAUUUUGUGAUGGGCAGGGCAUAGUGGUACAUGUCUUUAAUCUCAGCACUCUGGAGGCAGAGGCAGGUGGAUCUCUAUGAGAUGGAGGCUAGCCUGAUAUACAAAGUGAGACCAGAAC